rnacentral:lncRNA from 1 species
UAAUUAUUAUCUCGUUUAAUAUAUAGGAUUGGCUAAAUAAGGGAGCCAAAGCACUAAAUUUAUCAUAGGCACUGGAACAGGCCCGUAUACACUAAUCUGUUCCAGGAAUAGAUAUGCAAAAUGGUUUGUUUCGGAGGGUUUUAGUUUAUCUAGAUGCUACCAAUGUCAUCCUCUAAAACAUUAAACUAUCAUUUUUUUCUUUUUUGGAAGGUGAUGGUUUGCAUAUGAGUCAAGGUGAUUUAUCACUAUUAUAUUACUGGGUUACUAAUUUCAAAGUUGAAAUGAUUGAUCAGCUUCAGGGCUCAGAACGACCGCUGUAGGAGAGUUUACAUCACAAAUUAGGCCACGUGGAAGAUAGUGGAUGUCUAAGUUGGACUCGGAGGAGCAAAAUGGUAGUCAAUUUGCACUAGAUUUACUUUGCCGAUAAGGACAGUUUGAACCUGCAGUAAAAAGGAUCCCAAAGCGACAGUUUUAUACCAAAAUGGAUGUGAUAAGAUACCCCUAUUUAAAAAAAUUAAUGAUAACUGAACUAAUAUUGAACUAAGCCAUUUAUCGGAAAUACGUUUAAUAAACACAGUCAUUUAUGAA